UGAGGAAUAUUGGUCAAUGGAGGCAACUCUGAACCAGCCAAGUAGCGUGCAGGAUGACGGCCCUAUGGGUUGUAAACUGCUUUUAUGCGGGGAUAAACUGAGUCACGUGUGGCUUAUUGCAGGUACCGCAUGAAUAAGGACCGGCUAAUUCCGUGCCAGCAGCCGCGGUAAUACGGAAGGUCCGGGCGUUAUCCGGAUUUAUUGGGUUUAAAGGGAGCGCAGGCCGCCCCUUAAGCGUGUUGUGAAAUGCCGCGGCUCAACCGUGGCACUGCAGCGCGAACUGGGGGGCUUGAGUGCGCCGGA
rnacentral:rRNA from 1 species